AUGGGACCCGGGGUCCUGUGAAGUCCCCACCACCUCCUGCAGGACGUGGGCUGCUCGCCAGGUCCUUCCGCCACCUCCUUCUGCAGGAUCUGGGGUCGUGGGGUGCACGUGAGGUCACUGCCACCAUCACCAUCUCCUCCUCCUUGGGGUCAUCCAGGUCCUCACGAGGCCCCGUCACCUCCUCGUCCUUCUCCUGCAGGUCGUGGGGUGCACGUGAGGUCACUGCCACCAUCACCAUCUCCUCCUCCUUGGGGUCAUCCAGGUCCUCACGAGGCCCCGUCACCUCCUCGUCCUUCUCCUGCAGGUCGUGGGGUGCACGUGAGGUCGCUGCCACCAUCACCAUCUCCUCCUUCUUGGGGUCAUCCAGGUCCUCAUGAGGCCCCGUCACCUCCUCGUCCUUCUCCUGCAGGACGUGGGGUCCUGUGAGGACGUGGGGUCCUGUGAGGUCCUUGCCACCACCACCACCACCACCACCACCACCACCACCAUCUCCAUGGGGACAACCAGGCCCUCGUGAGGC